CUUGCAACCUUGGCUAAAAUGUGAGCCGUCUUGUUACACUCACUUCUCUCAAACAAAACCCUAAAACUGCAAAAUCAAUUAAGCUUCCUUUUCAUAGCCAUCACCAUUAAUCUCGUCGUCGUUCUGUUAUCCUUCUCGCCGUUUAGAAUUUUAACUAGUGUUUCAUUAUCGGAUUCGAAAUGAACCUUAAAGAUACAACAAUCCUUAGCAACAUUAAUACCAAUAUUAAACGCCACCGCCUCCAUUAAUAAAAGAUUCUCUUCCUCAUCCACGAAUUGAGUACAAGCUGCCAUAGAGUCACCAUUUUCAUUUUUGAAAAUAUCUUCAAUCCCCUAUUUACCCUUCACAUCUAAGCACACAUCCAGAUUCAGCUUCUGAUUCACCCUACUUAUAUCUUUUAUACCAUUCUCCUUCAGAAUCGAAACUAUGUGAUCCUUGGUAUUAUUGCUGCUAACUUCCCCUUUUUUAUGCAUGUUGGUCACCUCCAUGAUGCUUCAAGCAUUGAUCAUCUUAUCUCUACAAGGCCCUUAUAAAGACUAUUAUGAAUGAGAAGAAUGAUUUAACUAAUGUAAUUAUUACUAAGGUAAUUGAAGGAAUUAUAGAGAAAGAAUAUAAGAAAAUAGGGAGGAAUAACCCACUUGAAGCACUUGGGUCUAGAGGACAGAUGGUAUGUGAUUCAGUCAUCAAGUGAGUACGAGGGAGCAAUAAGAAAAUAAAGCAUAACAGAAAAUAUGAUUAAAUAAUGAGAGUUUUCUACUAAGGGGUGUGGAAUAGGACACCUCAAUGAUUCUCUCUCUUGGCGGUUAACUCGACAAUUUCUAGCAUUUCAUUGUAUUGGUGUGGCGACUCAUGUACUCCAUCUUUUUCAACUUUUCCCUAAAAGGAUAUUGUCCUUAUUAUUCUGCAUUUAACCAUUAUGGUUCAUUUCACCCAUUUAACUGUAUUAAUACAAGAUUAUAUCUCAUCAAUUGUUUAUUUUAUUGUUUUUAUGUUUACAAAAGAGGUUUUACCCUUUCAUUGGGGCUUUCAUCUCACUUUCCACCAUGACAUAGGCUACUAGACUCAAAGACGUUUAAAGUAAUCUAAAGUAAGUGUAUAAUAGUUUAAAAGGGGUUGAAUUUUAUGGAGUUAUGACACAUUAAAUAUCUGCAAGAUUGAUACGUUGAUUCCAUGAUAAUGGAUCAUUUGGAGUCUAAUGUUAGAGCUCUUCAGUUGACUUCGGUCGUUACCAGUUCUCCGACUAGCCCACUAUCACCACCACUGCCGUAACCCUUUCAGAUUCUCAAUGUCAAAUUGGAUUUUCCUUGAUUCGAAAGUUCAAAUGUGUAACAAUGGAUAUUCAAAAACUAAUAAUUCUUUGAAUACUACAACACAUUGAAUGCUCACCUUUUGAUGAUAUCGAUAAUGCACAUGGAGAAGGAGGCGGUUACUUGAUUUCAGGCGUUGUCGAGAAAUCAUCCCUUACAAUAAUGGUUAGCUUUUACUCGUUCCCUUGAAUUAGAAUUUGACCCUUUAAUGUAUGAAUUUGCACGAGUUUCCUUGUUCAGACUUUAGCA